rnacentral:lncRNA from 1 species
UCAGAAUCCUAUCUUACUUUGUAAAAAUAAUUUUAUUUAUUAAAGAAAACAUUAAGUCACAGUCACAACAAUCAAAUCAACAUCACACAUAACAAUAGAGAAAAUCAAAUAAAUCAUUAAAUGCUCAUAUUUUGUUGUCAUCCUUCGCAAAGUCUUUCCGACUUCCAUUUCUGAUGGCAGAUACAGAUUUCCGACUAUCCAUGUGGAAUGACCAAAUCAGAUAUAUAUAACAGCAAUUUUGUCAUGCACAUUUUCAGUUUGCUAAACUAUAGUACAAUCUAUGACCACAGUUGUAUCAACCACAGUAGUCCUAUCAGAUAUUCUAUAACCACGACAAUAAUUAGCCAAAAGUGACUACUAACAGAUAUUUGCGUCACCGCUCUCGUCAAAGAGUAUGCCGUCAUCCACAGGGAGCAAUUCUCUCACGUCUUUCUAAAUCAAAUGGGAGAGAAAAAAACAGAAAUCUCACAGAGAUAAAAAAACCUAACGAAACAUUUGAUACAUUAUGCAUGUCAAUAAAGAAAUAUACAUUUUUCAGACUAUUCAGGCUCAUUACCCUUCUCUUUCUUUCUUUUUUUUUUUGUUUUAUAUAUAUUUAAGAAAAUU